CCUACGGGGGGCAGCAGUGAGGAAUAUUGGUCAAUGGACGAGAGUCUGAACCAGCCAAGUAGCGUGAAGGAUGACUGCCCUAUGGGUUGUAAACUUCUUUUAUAUGGGAAUAAAAUGUUCCACGUGUGGGAUUUUGUAUGUACCAUAUGAAUAAGGAUCGGCUAACUCCGUGCCAGCAGCCGCGGUAAUACGGAGGAUCCGAGCGUUAUCCGGAUUUAUUGGGUUUAAAGGGAGCGUAGGUGGAUUGUUAAGUCAGUUGUGAAAGUUUGCGGCUCAACCGUAAAAUUGCAGUUGAAACUGGCAGUCUUGAGUACAGUGGAGGUGGGCGGAAUUCGUGGUGUAGCGGUGAAAUGCUUAGAUAUCACGAAGAACUCCGAUUGCGAAGGCAGUUCACUGGACUGCAACUGACACUGAGGCUCGAAAGUGUGGGUAUCAAACAGGAUUAGAUACCCGAGUAGUC
rnacentral:rRNA from 1 species